CCUACGGUGGCUGCAGUGAGGAAUAUUGGUCAAUGGGCUUACGCCUGAACCAGCCAAGUCGCGUGAGGGAAGACUGCCCUAUGGGUUGUAAACCUCUUUUGUCAGGGAGCAACGCCGGCUACGUGUAGCCGGACUGAGAGUACCUGCAGAAAAAGCAUCGGCUAACUCCGUGCCAGCAGCCGCGGUAAUACGGAGGAUGCGAGCGAUAUCGGGAUUUAUUUGGUUUAAAGGGUGCGUAGGCGGAAUGCCAAGUCAGCGGUAAAAUCGCGGGGCUCAACCUCGCUCCGCCGUUGAACCUGGCGUUCUUGAGUGGGCGAGAAGUAUGCGGAAUGCGUGGUGUAGCGGUGAAAUGCAUAGAUAUCACGCAGAACUCCGAUUGCGAAGGCAGCAUACCGGCGCCCAACUGACGCUGAAGCACGAAAGCGUGGGUAUCGAACAGGAUUAGAUACCCGGGUAGUC
rnacentral:rRNA from 1 species